rnacentral:tRNA from 1 species
UGUCUUAUAUUCAUGAAUGAUUUAAAAUUGCAAAUUUUAAGGUGUAAAGAUUUUACUAAGGCUU